GCGACGUCGACUGCCUACCAUUCGGUCCG
rnacentral:sRNA from 1 species